rnacentral:rRNA from 1 species
AACAAACGCUGGCGGCGUGCCUAAUACAUGCAAGUCGAACGGGUAGCAAUACCAGUGGCGCACGGGUGGGGAAUACAUAGAUAAUCUGCCUUCGAGUCGGGGAUAACCAGUCGAAAGAUUGGCUAAUACCGGAUAAGACCACAGGAGCUGAGGCUCUAGGGGUUAAAGGUUUUUCGCUUGAAGAUGAGUCUAUGCGAGAUUAGCUAGUUGGUGAGGUAAUGGCUCACCAAGGCGACGAUCUCUAACUGGUCUUAGAGGAUGAUCAGUCACACUGGAACUGAGACACGGUCCAGACUCCUACGGGAGGCAGCAGUAGGGAAUAUUGCGCAAUGGGGGAAACCCUGACGCAGCGACGCCGCGUGAGUGAUGAAGGCCUUCGGGUCGUAAAGCUCUGUCGUAUGGGAAUAACACAAUGAAUGUACCAUGCAAGAAAGGAUCGGCUAACUUCGUGCCAGCAGCCGCGGUAACAC